UCUGUGUGAACGUGAGCAGAGCAAACGCAGGAAAGAAAAAAAAAUGAAGAACAAUACACACGCAAAAAUCGAUCAAACGCAGAGAAUUUUUUUUAAUACAAAUUUGCCGUCACCUGCAUUUUGCACUAAUUGGCGCCACUGCCAAAAGAUUUGAACAUGACGCGCUUUUUCAAACUGCGUUUUUCCACGAAUUCGGAGGGAUAUUUGAUUGAAAACACAUUUUCCGGCUAACUAACUAGCCGUUGUACUGGACAGGACACUAACUCACCUCGUGUUGCAGAAUAUCCCAGUAGUUAGAAUAAAUUUUUAAUUAUAUUUUUCAACCAAGAAGCAACACACGCUAGGGAUAGUGUGACCCGUGGAUUUGUCAAGAAAAUAUACCGUCUGAUGCUCAGAAACAUGCAGUAUUAUACCAAAAUGUGAUGAAAUAUACCAAGGGGUUGUGUCAGCUAUCGAAAUUAGCCGACCUAGCCCGCUCUGUUUGAACAUGUAAAAAA